rnacentral:rRNA from 1 species
CGGGUGCGUAACACGUGGAUAACCUUCCUUCAGGUGGGGAAUAACCCAGUGAAAAUUGGGCUAAUACCGCAUAACAUGACGAUGGCUCAUGCUGUUGUCUUCAAAGGCGCAAGUCGCCAGAAGAGGGAUCCGCGGCCGAUUAGCUAGUUGGCGGGGUAAUGGCCCACCAAGGCGAUGAUCGGUAUCCGGCCUGAGAGGGCGCACGGACACACUGGAACUGAAACACGGUCCAGACUCCUACGGGAGGCAGCAGUGGGGAAUUUUGCGCAAUGGGGGAAACCCUGACGCAGCAACGCCGCGUGGAGGAUGAAGUAUCUCGGUACGUAAACUCCUUUCGAUGGGGAAGAUGAUGACGGUACCCAUAGAAGAAGCCCCGGCUAACUUCGUGCCAGCAGCCGCGGUAAUACGAGGGGGGCAAGCGUUGUUCGGAUUUAUUGGGCGUAAAGGGUGCGUAGGCGGUUUGGCAAGUCUUGUGUGAAAUCUAUGGGCUCAACCAUAGCCUGCACGAGAAACUACCGGGCUUGAGUGAUGGAGAGGUGAGUGGAAUUUCCGGUGUAGCGGUGAAAUGCGUAGAUAUCGGAAGGAAACCUGUGGCGAAAGC